rnacentral:rRNA from 1 species
CGGUGAGGUGACUUGUCUGGUUAAUUCCGACAACGGACGAGACCUCGACCUACUAAUUAACAAUAUUCAUCCUGAUGGAUAUUAGUUACUUAGGGGGACACUGUGUUAAAACGCAGGGAAGUCCGAGCCUAUAACA